rnacentral:misc_RNA from 1 species
GCGAUGGCGGCGGCGGCUGUGAACGGUACGGCGGUGGAUCUGAAGGCGGCGUUUCGGGAGGUGUACUCGCAGCUCAAAUCGGAGCUCCUCGAGGAUCCCGCCUUCGACUACACCGAGGAUUCGCGAUCGUGGAUCGAGCAGAUGCUGGACUACAAUGUACCCGGAGGGAAGUUGAACCGAGGGAUCUCCGUGAUUGAUAGCUACAAGUUGUUGAAAGAAGUAAAUGAACUCAGCAACGAUGAUAUUUUUCUUGCAAGUGCACUUGGUUGGUG